GCCGGUGUAGCUCAGCUGUUAGAGCAUCCGACUUGUAAUCGGAAGCGCGGGGGUUAGAGCCCCUCCACCGGCU
rnacentral:tRNA from 1 species